CCCAUUCGCAUUAAGUUCAUCUGGCUUUGUUUUACCCUUAUUUUUUCCCCCAAGAAAGCUGUGUCUUGAAUAAUAUGAUCUUUAAAGUUUAAGCUGCAUAUAGAAGUGCUUCUUCUUUUCUUCUCCACUUUCUCUGGUUCUGAAAUGCAAGAAAUGCAGAAUAAAAGACAAUUGAACCAUCGUAUUUGUUUUUUCUGCCCCUUCUCUCCAGUUAAAUGCUGUUGUGAUUUUGAUGUAAACAUCCUAGUAAUUUUCACAGGAAGUGGGUGCAGGGAUCCUAGCAGUGUGUCUGUUCAAUGGUACUGUUAGGCGUCUUUUUGUUCAAAGGAGGACUUGUUCCAACGCCCUGGCACUGAUCCAGUGCAGGCAGCCCGGGGACUUGGUGGGCCACCAGGGCAGGUGGUCCAGGAGCUGGACUGUGCACUUAGAGGGGAGGCUGGGUGGUCUUUUCUUUCUACUCGGGAUCUCCUGCUCUUAGAAGACCGGCCUUUUGGGAUUGAGUCUUUGAGGACUCAGAAGCGAUUUUGACCUUGAGCUGACAUUUUCAGAGUGAACGAGCUUGCUGAAAGGAUGGCAAUGUGCAAUGUUUGGCUCUCCCCAUGAUUACAGAGUUGAGUUUAAGAGACAGAGGGAGUAAAAGAAGAUGACAUUUGAGUUUUUGUGAGUCUUCAUCUUAUUCCUUUCUGCCUCUCGUUGGAACUGACUGCCAAUUCAGAACAAAACAAAUUGUGAAAACUCCCCUCCUGUGUCACUCACCCCUGGUCCUCGGGGCCCAGAGUUGGAACAAAUUAGGAUGGCUUUUGACAUUAGGCACAGGACAUAAAGCCACAAAAAGUUUGUCUAUCCACAAAGAAGCAGAACCUUUAGGUAGACCCAUACACCCAUACAUAUAUCUACACAAAACACUGUGUUUUCAACCCAACAAGAAAAUCAUAUUUCUUAGUUCUGUUUGACUUCCUCAGCCUUGUUUUCUUAUCCCUGUUUCCUUCCUCCCUCCCUCCCUCCCUCCCUUCCUUCCUUCCUUCNNNNNNNNNNNNNNNNNNNNCCUUCCUUCCUUCCUUCCUUCUCUUUGCUGAUCCUUCUGAGUCUUGAGUCAGGAUACAGGGCAACACUCAAGACUGUCCUCAUGCCCUUUCCUUUCCCCUGUGAUGAUGACUCCCAGACAUGUUUCUCAGGCCUGCAGCUUGAGUGCACAUGAUGAGCUGAAGGCUGGAAAAGUUGAGAGGCCAAAUCAGUUCAGAAAAUUUAUUAAUUUAAAUUUUUUAAUUUAAAAAAGGAUUUCACAUUUUACCCAAACAGAAAUGAUCGAUACCCAUGUACCCGCCAGCUUAAUCUGACUGAUGUUAAUAUUUCCCCUGUCUUAUCCUGUGUGCUCUAGAUGAUGAAUAGCAUCUCUGGUCUCUACACCUGGACUUCAGACAUUGCCAAAUGUCCACUGGGGCCAAAAAUCACCCUUUGUUAUAAACUAUAAUUCUGUAUAAAUUGUAGAGUCAGUGUAUCAUCCUUCCAUCCCUCAUCAUUCCACUGUGGUCAUAUCAUUAGUCAAUGUGAGAUAUGCACAUUAUUAUGACUCUAGGUCAAUACCACUUGCAGCCAAGCCACACCAUGUGCUGUGUAGACUUACAUUUCUAUUCAUGUACAACAAAAUUGAGACUUAGCAUGAGAGGGUUCUUUGCUUCACCCAGGGAAGAAUUCAAGGUCAGUGGUGAGAGAAAGCAACUUUUAACAAGCAGUGCCUGGCUCAUAGGCAGUGUGCCCAGCAUCAGCAGUGUACGCUGACAACUGUAUUUAUACCCACUUUGAAUCACACGCUAAUUAAGAGGUGGGUUAUUGAGAAGUUUCUGGAAAAGAGGCGGAAAGUUUCAGGAACCAUUUAAGUUAACUUCCAGGCUGUUGCCAUGGCUUGUUGCCAUGGCGUUUACAAGCUGCCAUGGCACUAGUGGAAGUGUCUUCAUGGUAACGAGCAGUUAGGCCAACUGGAGGUUGCUUUCGUUGCUGUCUGCUGGUUUUGGGUGGCUUCUUCCCUGCAUCCUGUUCUGACUAGAUCCUGCUUCCAUC
rnacentral:lncRNA from 1 species